rfam:Triticum aestivum genome assembly, contig: Triticum_aestivum_CS42_TGACv1_scaffold_057611_1BS
GGAUGCGAUCAUACCAGCACUAAAGCACCGGAUCCCAUCAGAACUCCGGAUUUAAGCGUGCUUUGGCUAGAGUAGUACUAGGAUGGGUGACCUCCUGGGAAGUCCUCAUGUUGCAUUCC